AGUGAACGCUGGCGGUAGGCCUAACACAUGCAAGUCGAACGGCAGCACAGUAAGAGCUUGCUCUUACGGGUGGCGAGUGGAGGACGGGUGAGGAAUACAUCGGAAUCUACUUUUUCGUGGGGGAUAACGUAGGGAAACUUACGCUAAUACCGCAUACGACCUACGGGUGAAAGCAGGGGAUCUUCGGACCUUGCGCGAUUGAAUGAGCCGAUGUCGGAUUAGCUAGUUGGCGGGGUAAAGGCCCACCAAGGCGACGAUCCGUAGCUGGUCUGAGAGGAUGAUCAGCCACACUGGAACUGAGACACGGUCCAGACUCCUACGGGAGGCAGCAGUGGGGAAUAUUGGACAAGGGGCGCAAGCCUGAUCCAGCCAUACCGCGUGGGUGAAGAAGGCCUUCGGGUUGUAAAGCCCUUUUGUUGGGAAAGAAAAGCAGCAGGUUAAUACCCCGCUGUUCUGACGGUACCCAAAGAAUAAGCACCGGCUAACUUCGUG
rnacentral:rRNA from 1 species